UACGUAGGGCGCAAGCGUUGUCCGGAAUUAUUGGGCGUAAAGAGCUCGUAGGUGGUUUGUUACGUCUGCUGUGAAAACCUAGGGCUUAACCCUGGGCCUGCAGUGGAUACGGGCAGACUAGAGGUAGGUAGGGGAGAUUGGAUUCCUGGUGUAGCGGUGGAAUGCGCAGAUAUCAGGAGGAACACCGAUGGCGAAGGCAGAUCUCUGGGCCGUAACUGACGCUGAGGAGCGAAAGCAUGGGGAGCGAACAG
rnacentral:rRNA from 1 species